AUUGAACGCUGGCGGCAUGCUUUACACAUGCGAGUCGAACGGUAACAGGCCUUCGGGUGCUGACGAGUGGCGAACGGGUGAGUAAUGCAUCGGAACGUACCCAGAGGUGGGGGAUAACGCAGCGAAAGCUGUGCUAAUACCGCAUGUGAUCUGAGGAUGAAAGCGGGGGACCGAGCAGCAAUGUUUGGCCUCGCGCCUUUGGAGCGGCCGAUGUCGGAUUAGUUAGUUGGUGGGGUAAAGGCCUACCAAGGCGACGAUCCGUAGCUGGUCUGAGAGGACGACCAGCCACACUGGGACUGAGACACGGCCCAGACUCCUACGGGAGGCAGCAGUGGGGAAUUUUGGACAAUGGGCGCAAGCCUGAUCCAGCAAUGCCGCGUGCGGGAAGAAGGCCUUCGGGUUGUAAACCGCUUUUGGCAGGAACGAAACGGUGUCCGCUAAUACCGGGCGCUAAUGACGGUACCUGCAGAAUAAGCACCGGCUAACUACGUG
rnacentral:rRNA from 1 species